CUGUUUACCCAAGGGAACAAUUAAAAUUCAGGAAAACAUGCCUAUUCAAAUAAUUUCCUUUCAUUUUAAGACGAUUCAGUGUAAACAUUUCCCCAAUACUUUGAGAAGUACAUUGAUCCAAUGAUGAUCUGUGUAUAGCGUUAUCUCAUGUCAAAUAGGGAAGUGGAAAACGAAGGGAAUUCCGAUAGUCAUUAAGAAAUUCCCUACAGCCCCUUCAGAGAUGGGUGGAUCUGGAAAAGUGGUAUAAUUGAGGGAGUGGAGGUCAGAUUCUUCUGAAGAAUGAGUACUUAACAGAACUGAAACAGUUAGCUGGAAAAUAAUGCUUGAGUUUCAGUGAUAGUAAGAGCCUGAGAUGGUGCUGAUUUGUCCAAGAAAGUGGAUAUUGCCGACUUGCAUUUCCAUGUGAAAAUGUUGGCAUUUCCAUGCUGGCAAUAGGAAGGGCUAGAAAACAAAUGUAUAAUAAAGUGCCUUAGAAUAUGGUACAUCUCUGGGAUAAGGAUGGAAAAUAAAUAUAUAUACUCCUGAAGAAAAUCUAGGAACAAAACAUGUGCUCUAAACUGUUGAAUUAACCUUAGCGGUUGGGAACCUUGAAAUAAGGAAGUCUACCAGAUUUCCUGAGGGAUUAAAAAUAUUUCAUGGCAACCCAGGAGUCACUGUGUGGGAUGUAGAAUUGCGUUGUUUGGAAAUAAAAAUAGCUUUUUUUUUUUUUUUUUUUCAAGUGAGAAUGAUGGAUGUGGAAAAAUGUGGCAGCCGAGAUAUGAAGUCAGAGAAACAAAACGAUACACAAUUUGAGGAGACGUAACCCAGCAUUGAAACUUCUGAUCUUAAAGCAGGGAUUCUCAGCCUUUGGUUUGAGUUCGUCAGGGCUAAGCAUGAUCAGAGGCAUGCAAAGGGCCAGUGGGCUGCAGAUGGUGUAGGACUUAAAAGGCCAAAGCUCUGAAAAUGGAAGUUGGAAAAGAAAGAAGAACAAAGGAAGGAGUAAAAAGGGUAGCCUGAAAGGAAACCUUGGUACUUCAAAAUGACUGGGACAUUCAUCAAUACAUACAAAAAGGAGAAGACACUUCUGAAUGAUGAGCCUUCAUUCAAAUUGUCCAUCACUCAUCCUUGGAAAACAAGUUGAGAUUCCCUGAUUUAAUGGUCAGUUCUUACAGAAGUGCCCUUUGCCUUCACUCAGUGUCUUGAUUUGUCUUCUGUGUGAUUGAGAGUCCCAAUGUUACAACAGUAUUUAAGUAUGAGUUAUUUUUAUUUAUUUGAGUUGUGGAGUCUUAUCUUGUGAUUGUGGUUGUAAAUGUUUUUUUUGAACAUGUACUGUUAAGUAGAAGUUAAAAUUUUGUCACCAGCCCAAACUUAUUGCUUAAAGACUUGCGUAUGUCCAUUAAAAUACAUGUGUAAGGUACUUGGUAUCCUCUGUAGCUAUCAGUACAUAGGAAGCAUAGAGAACAAACCAUUGGUUUGUAUAGGAUAUAACGUUAUUUAACCCAUUAAUAUCUUUAUUGACUUGAAUAAUCUUAUACAUUAUAAAAAUAUCAGUUAUAUUUUAAAUAUUAGCUUUGCAACUAUGUGUACACAUAACCUCAUUUCAUCCCUAUAACAACUGUGUUGUGAUAAGCACUGUUAAUCCCCAUUUCACAACUAGGGGAGCAGAGAGAUAAAAUAAUUUGCUAAAGACAAUACUUAGCAGACUUCAUAUUACCUCAUAUUUUACCCACUAUCCUUUUCGGAUAUAAUUUAUAGCUGUGUUUUGCAUUCAUUCAGCUAACAUUUAGGAAGAACCCUAGCAAUCACUGUGCCAGACUGAAAGU
rnacentral:lncRNA from 1 species